ensembl:lncRNA
GUUUGAAUUCCCCAAAUAACUGACCCCCUCCGGGCCAGCGGUUGGGAUUUUCCAUUACAGGGAUCCGGUAGGUCAUGCCCAGCAUCUGCCCUCCUUCUCUUCCUGGGUUACAGCAGGAAGGGUGAGUGGAAGGGGGCAACUCCCUUCUCUGCACCGGCCCCUCCACCGACCUUGACUUUGGACCUGGGGAGAUCAGGUAGUGGGAGGAAACAACAAGGAGAAAACAGAUCCAAGUUCAAGCCUCGGUGUGUAGAGAGGAGAGUGAGAGAAGUAAUUGAAGAUGCAGCAAGAAGGCUCAUGGUUAGACAACAGGAGGGACUGCCUGAAGAAGUCGAUGAAAGAGAGACCCACAGGUUGGGGGCAGCCUUGCCCUGGGUGGACAAGAGAUGACUUGGGAUUUAGGAAGCAGCCACUCAUCGGUUCCUGGGUCAGAGUGCCCCGGUUAUCUUCUGCAGGACACAAGACCUCCGACUCCAGGACAUCAACCAGAAUAGACGCCACCUGGUCUUUUGAUCUGGGGUGCCUGGUUGGGCUCCUGCUUCCUUUGAACACAGCCAGUGGUGCCAGCAUGGACCAAUGCCCUUGGGGUAAGAAGAGGGAAGCAGAGACCAAGAAAGACUUGAAGGGCGCUUGGAAACGCCGGGCCUCGGAGGUAGACGCGAGCCUUCCAUACCAUCAGCAGCUCUAGAGGGCUGUGGCACCCAGGUCCCUGGAUUGGCACAACUGUCUUGGUUCAUCUCUGCACGAGUUGGGCGUCUGCGUAAAGAUAGGUUUUAGGCAGCAUCUCUGUCUUUUCUCUUUGAGUUGAGCCUCUCAGCAAGUGGGCAGAGAGAAUGUUCCCUUCUGGGAGGAGGGGAAAACAUGGCUCAUCGGGGCAGUAUGGGUCAAGGCUUUCAUAAACACACACAAAUCACAGGACAUUCUUGUGUGUGAUUCUUAGCCCCCACCAAACUGGGAUUUAUACACACUUAAGAGAAACGGAGCUGAGGGCUAAGUGUGCUGGUGGCUAAGUGUGCUAAGUGUCUGGGGGGAGGAGGGUGUGUGCUCUUUGCUUGGGUGUGGUUGUCACCCUGUCCCCUAGCUGCUGUCUGGGUCCAGAGUAGAAUACAUGUUUCACAUACACGCUGCUCCGUUUGUCUUUUUAAUAAUUUAUCUAUUUUUAAUUGAAGGAUAGUUGCUUUACAAGGUGGUGUUGGUUUCUGCCAUACAUCAACAUGAAUCAGCCAUAGACAUACAUACAUCCCCUCUCUCUUGAACCUCCCUCCCUCACGUUUGCCUUUAAGAAGCCAUGUAACAAGGACUUCCCUGACUUCCCUGGCAGUCCAAUCAUUGGGACUUUGUGCUUCCACUGCAGGGGGCUCAGGCUCAAUCCCCGGUUGGAGAACUAAGAUUCCACUUGCCACGUGGUGUGGCCAAAUGAAUAAAUAAAAGAAGCCAUGUAACAAGAGUUACGGACUCCUCACACCAGACAAUCCAGGGUUCAAACCUGAGUUUGGACAGUAACUAAUCCAUUAACCCUGGACAUGUUCCUAAACUCCUAUAGGCCUUGGUCUCCUCAUGAGGGGAUAAUAACAGCACUAAGCUCACAGGGUCCUGGGACGAUUAGGUGAGAUCACGUUACAUACCUGAUGGAGGUCAGAAUACAUCAGCAGCCCCGUCCGUGAAUGUGCCUCUCCGAGAACCCUGUCUCCACAGUUGUGACUGUAAAGUGUGACAUCUGAGCAAGGUUAUACACACACUCUUUCAGGACACAGCAUGAGUCUUAAUUAUUUCAAGGACUUGGGACACUUCGUGCCGCCUCAGUGCCCUGUGCAUAUUUCAUCUUAGGGGAAAUGAAUAAAAUAAGCCUGGGAAACACGAGCCUGGUACCUGAAGUAUGCCCACCCCUGGUGGUACAAGGAGAGCUGGCGGGCUGGGGAUGGCAUAGUGAGGACAGCCCCCCAGGAUCACUGAUCACCGUGUCCCGGCUCACUCAUGUCUCUGCAACCUCAGUAAGUGAAAGUCACUCAGUUGUGUCUGACUCUUUGCGACCCCAUGGACUGUAGUCCACCAGGCUCCUUUGUCCACGGAAUUCUCCAGGCCAGAACACUGGAGCGGGUUGCCAUUCCCUUCUCCAGGGGAUCUUCCCAACCCAGGGAUUGAAUCCAGGUGUCCCGCAUUGUAGGCGGAUUCUUUACUGUCUGAGCCACCAGGGAAGCCCCUGGCUCCCUCCCUUAAGACUCCUGAGACUUCUAGAGAGGCCGCAUUCCCCCUUGCUCU